AGUCGAACGGACUUAACUCAUUCUUUUAGAUUGAGAGCGGUUAGUGGCGGACUGGUGAGUAACACGUAAGCAACCUGCCUAUCAGAGGGGAAUAACAGUGAGAAAUCAUUGCUAAUACCGCAUAAGCUAGUAGUAUCGCAUGAUAUAGCUAGAAAAGGAGCAAUCCGCUGAUAGAUGGGCUUGCGUCUGAUUAGCUAGUUGGUGGGGUAACGGCCUACCAAGGCGACGAUCAGUAGCCGGACUGAGAGGUUGAACGGCCACAUUGGGACUGAGAUACGGCCCAGACUCCUACGGGAGGCAGCAGUCGGGAAUAUUGCGCAAUGGAGGAAACUCUGACGCAGUGACGCCGCGUAUAGGAAGAAGGUUUUCGGAUUGUAAACUAUUGUCGUGAGGGAAGAAAUUGACAGUACCUCAGGAGGAAGCUCCGGCUAACUAUGUGCCAGCAGCCGCGGUAAUACAUAGGGAGCAAGCGUUAUCCGGAUUUAUUGGGUGUAAAGGGUGCGUAGACGGGAAAUUAAGUUAGUUGUGAAAUCCCUCGGCUUAACUGAGGAACUGCAACUAAAACUGAUUUUCUUGAGUACUGGAGAGGAAAGUGGAAUUCCUAGUGUAGCGGUGAAAUGCGUAGAUAUUAGGAGGAACACCAGUGGCGAAGGCGACUUUCUGGACAGUAACUGACGUUGAGGCACGAAAGUGUGGGGAGCAAACAGGAUUAGAUACCCUGGUAGUCCACACUGUAGACGAUGGAUACUAGGUGUAGGAUGUAUUAAGCAUUCUGUGCCGCCGCUAACGCAUUAAGUAUUCCACCUGGGGAGUACGUUC
rnacentral:rRNA from 1 species